CUGCAACUGCUAUAACACGUUCCGUGGACGUCCCGCAACGUUUAUACGUAAUGUUUUUCGUUGGCGUACGAUACGAUUACGAACGUAAAACUCCGCCUCACUUCAUGACAUCACGCCACCUUGGUGUCGAUUAUUCCGCUGUAACAGCAUCAAACGUACUGUAUUUUGCGUACAUUUUUAAAAAUAAUUUUACGAUCGUAUCAUUAUAAUAUUACAAUACAGACAUGGUUGCCAGGUAUUUCAAGGCCCACCAUCUUAAUAAGUUUUUUAUUCGCUUUUUGAUUUAUGUUUUAGGUUGCCAGUGGUGUGAAUAUUCCAUCCGGAAUCCUUAAGUUCAUGCCUUGUUCCGGAAAAAGACCUGAAGACAAAUUUAAUAGCGAGGAAACUGAAAAAAAAGGAAUGGGGGGUUAAUAAGAUAAUUAGCGCGUUUAGUCCGACUCCAGCUCUCAAUUUGGAUGUUUGGUGGGCGAGAAGAAAAGAGAAGCGAAGCGAGUAUGUCAUCUUUAAUUUGAGUCAAAGAUCCAGACAGGAAGCGGGCAGUGAAAAACGGAAUGGACAGAGAUUCCCGGAUUUCCUGGAUGCCCAUUCCUCCGCCCGUGUCAUUUAUAUUUAUCCCAUGUGGAUGAAGCUUAGGCAGGAUGCGAGUCCAUUGUGGUGCGACAAUAAGAAGAUUGAGGCUGCAGGAGACACAUUGACUCUGAAUGGAUGAGCUGAACAUCUGGACUGGCUGGGGGUUCGAGAGUGUGUGUGUGUGUGUGUGUGUGUGUGUGAAAGAGAGUGGGUGAAUGUGUAUGUGUGUGAACCCCUUGCUGAGCUGCACCCUGCCAGCUGAAUUUAAAGCUUUCACGCUGGACGACCUCACAUCCCUUCGUUCAAACUCACACACUCGCUUCUCGCCGAACCCUAGCAAGGGCACAGCGAUGCCGUUCGGGACGUGGCCGGAUUUCUGAGCGCAGAUCGUAAAUAUUACGAAACAAUAGACUAUCUCUUCUUGACAAUAAAACUUCUUCAUGUGAGGAGGAAACACACCACCUUCCUUCCACUCUUAGCGUCUUCACACACACACACACACACACACACACACACACACACACUCAAUAGCUCCCUCUCGUUCAUUCCUCCAUAAACUUUCUUUUACUACAAAUGAUUUCUUCAAGAAGUUCUUAACAAGCGUUUUCAGUGCCAGCGGUGGGUUGCCAGCAGUGUCAAAAAAAUCAUCCUACUGAGAUGUAAAAUCUUCUUAGAAAGCUUUGUCAGGAAAAAAAACCCCCAGAAGGCUCAUAUAAUAAUAUAUCUUCUAACCAGUGACACAAUCCCCAUAUUAAACCCUCUUUAAGCUUUAGGUUGCCAGUGAUAUCAAAUUACACCCGGAAACCAUGCAUUAAGUGUCACGAAAUCACUAGUCAAAGCACUACGCCUCCUGAAACCUUAUAAGCUUUGUUGUUACAUCUAAUCAGCCAUUUAAAAAAAAAAGAAGAUAUAAAUCUUUUUGUACGCUUUAGGUUGCCAGCGAUGUCAAAUAUCAUCUAUAAACAUAAAUAAACUGUAUUUAUGCACCAAGUAAAAAUGAAUACGCAUGACUUUCUGUGUAAGCGUUUAUGUAUGUGUGUGUGUUAAGCUAUAUUAAACCAGUGAUGCAAACCCACAGCCGAGGUUGCCAGUGAUAUGAAAUAACACCCAGAAGACAAUACGCAUUCUUAAUGCAUUUUCUGAGAUCUUUUUGAAACAACUUUUAGCAGAACUAUUAAAACUUUUGUAUGAUUUAAGUUUCCAGUGUUAAAAAAAAUCAGCCUGAGGCAAUAACAAGCAUCAUGUGAAAAUUACUACUUAAAUCUCACUUAGAAACAAUUUUUAUUUUUAUUUUUAAAAUGUGUUCCUCUAUAUUUAACCAGUGACAGAAACCUACACAGUUUAUGUUGCCAGUGGUAUCAAAUAUAACUCCAAAGAGGCCAUGCAAACAUUUUCUCUUUUAGAAAUAUUAACACAAGAGUUUGUAAGAUUUAGGUUGCCAGUUGUAUUAAACGUCUGUCUGAAGAGGGAACACAUUGUAAGCAGCACGCAAAACAUAACAUAAAAUGUACCUUAAGCUAUAACGCAUUUAUAGCCUACUUAAUGACAGAAAUCUACGUAGUUCAGGUUGCCAGUUAUCAGAAUUAACACCCUUAAGAGACUGCAAUAAGCCCUGCUAAAUCUUUUAAAAAUUAGUAACUAUAUCGACUAUUAAAAAUGUUGUAUUGCUUUAGGUUGCCAGUGGUUUUAAAUAUCAUCCAGUAGGGAGACCCAGUUUGAGACAGCAUGACAUCAUCUGUCAAGACUAAUCGUUAAAAUAAUUUAGAAAUAAACUAUGGCUCAUGUUUACAUGUAAGCAAUAACAGAAUCCUACUAUAUGAAGCCAUUGAUGUGUUUGAGGUUGCCAGAGGCAUGAAAUAUGAGUAGAUCAGGUUUAGUAGUCCAAAACAUUGCACCUACAUGGACCCCUUUGUAAGCUUUAGGUUGCCAGUGGAAACAAAAAGCAUACAGUUCUAAGCAAAAAUCAUUCAACAUAAAAAGAUAGCUUAAGCUAUAGGCACCCCAUCAGUGACAGAAACCUUCUGUAUGCGUCAGGUUGCCAGAGAUAGCAAACAUCACCCCGUUUAUGCAGAAUGUUUAAGCUGAAUUAGAAGUACAAGAAACACUCCUUACGUUCUUUCCUUAGUGACAGAAACGCUAGAAACUCGUUUGGGUUGACAGUGACAUCAAAAUCGUUCGGAAAAGAACCCAGCUUUAGGAAAUGAUCCUAGAAAUGAAAUCUAAAAACAAAAUAAUAACCAAUAUUGAUCCAGCGUAUAGUAUAAAUCGGUGCAGCUCCUGUGCAACAAAGGUAAAAACACAGACAUAUAAAUAUAAGCUUGCAUUUUAAACAGUUCUGUAUUUCCUAACGCACCAAAAUAACGCAUGCACGCGCAACACAAACACCGAUGUUUCUGAUUUUUUUUAAAUAUUCCUUUCUUUCCUGGUGCGUUUUGGAUGCGCGCGAGCCCGCACUGCGAUGUUCCCAACUUCAACUUAAUACAAAAAACAAAAACAAAAAAAACACACACACACACACAUUGACCCCCAUAUCCUAAAAUUCAGACCAACAUGUUGCAGGAUUGAUGAUAUCGCACUUACGCAUUUACCCAAGAAAAAAAACAAUAACAACGCAAAAACGCAUCAGGCUCGCGCUGGACACAGAAACUCACCGUGUUGUCGCUCUGCCGCUCCGUUAAAGCGAAGCCUCAUCCACUCUCUCUCUCUCUCUCUCUCUCUCUCUCUCACACACACACACACACACACGAUCCAAAGCUGGAGUUCCCUCUCGCGAGCAGAUCCGUUCCGUAAUCGUAGCGGUGCGCGUGCGAGUCCCCGUGGGUCUAGUUCACUCACGCGCUCGUUGUCCUCAUCCUCGCGCAGAACAGCAAAACAAAAAUGUAACCGCACGCGCUCCGAUCUCUGCAACAACAACAACAACAAAAGCGGAGAGUCCGUUCACACUGACUGCCGUUUACUCUGCUCCGUCUCUGCUCUCCGUAGCUCGCGCUCGCUCUGAGGGAGGGGAUAACGCGCGCGCGCGCGCACACACGCACGCACACACACAUAUACGCAGACGAAGGAACAGGCGCACACUGAUCCGCGAGCGCCCGCCCCGCAGCACCUCCUCUUCGCCUCAGCACAUUAAAUCACCGCGAGAGAAACAAAGGCGCGCGCGGCGGCGCACCGGUGAAACGGAAACGCGUCUCCGCCCAUAAUGGACCCCCGUGAACACACCGAACACCACGUGACACCGGGGUUAAGCCUGGGUUUGGGAGGUGCGCGAGCUUGACUUCUGUACUGUUUCAUGUUUGUUUAUUAAGAUGGACAUUUUCAAGUUUUUAAUUGGAAAAACGACAAUUCUGUCUCUCUCUGUGUCUGUCUCUCUCUCUCUGUUAGACUGUCUCUCUCACUCUGUCUCACUGUGAGUCUCUCUCUCUCUGUUAGACUGUCUCUCUCACUGUGUGUCUCUCUCUGUGUCUCACUGUUAGAUUGUCUCUCUCACUCUGUCUGUUAGACUGUCUCUCUCACUGUCUCACUGUGUGUGCCUCUCUCUGUCUCACUGUUAGAUUGUCUCUCUCACUCUGUCUCACUGUGUGUGUCUCUCUCUGUCUCACUGUUAGAUUGUCUCUCUCACUCUGUCUGUUAGACUGUCUCUCUCACUGUCUCACUGUGUGUGCCUCUCUCUGUCUCACUGUUAGAUUGUCUCUCUCACUCUGUCUCACUGUGUGUCUCUCUGCAUCUCACUGUUAGAUUGUCUCUCUCACUCUGUCUCACUGUGAGUCUCUCUCUCUGUUAGACUGUCUCUCUCACUGUCUCACUGUGUGUCUCUCUCUGUGUCUCACUGUUAGAUUGUCUCUCUCACUCUGUCUCACUGUGUGUGUGUCUCUCUGUGUCUCACUGUUAGAUUGUCUCUCUCACUCUGUCUCACUGUGUGUCUCUCUGCGUCUCACUGUUAGAUUGUCUCUCUCACGCUGUCUCACUGUGUGUGUCUCUCU
ensembl:lncRNA